rnacentral:tRNA from 1 species
GAGGGUAUAGCUCAAGUGGUAGAGCACAUGCUUAGCAUGCACGAGGUCCUGGGUUCAGUCCCCAGUACCUUCC